rnacentral:tRNA from 1 species
ACCCCCGUAGCUCAGAUGGAUAGAGCGAGGGAUUCCUAAUCCCUAGGUCACGCGUUCAAAUCGCGUCGGGGGUA